rnacentral:rRNA from 1 species
UUGCAGUUAAAAAGCUCGUAGUCGGAUUUUGGCAUCACGCCGAACUGUCAGCCGAUUGGUUUGUACGGUUUGGCGGGUGCUCUCCUUCCGGAAGCUCGUUCCCUUCUUAGUUGACGGGUUCGAUGGUUCCGGGUCUUUUACUUUGAAAAAAUUAGAGUGUUCAAAGCAGGCCUAUGCUCUGAAUAGGUUAGCAUGGAAUAAUAGAAUAGGGCUUUGGUUCUAUUUUGUUGGUUUCUAGGACCGAAGUAAUGAUUAAUAGGGACAGUUGGGGGCAUUCAUAUUCCAAUGUCAGAGGUGAAAUUCUUGGAUUAUCGGAAGAUGAACUUCUGCGAAAGCAUCUGCCAAGGAUGUUUUCAUUGAUCAAGAACGAAAGUUAGGGGAUCGAAGACGAUCAGAUACCGUCGUAGUCUUAACCAUAAACUAUGCCGACUAGGGAUGUGAAGGCGUUAUUUUAUACGACCCUUCAUGCACCUUAUGAGAAAUCNAAAGUCUAUGGGUUCCGGGGGGAGUAUGGUCGCAAAGGCUGAAACUUAAAGGAAUUGA